CAAAGAGUAGUUUAAGUUAAAAUGCUGGUUUUGGGGGCCAGAGAUGGGAUUCUCUCUUUGA
rnacentral:tRNA from 1 species